rnacentral:rRNA from 1 species
AUGUCUUCCUCUUCUCCUGUCGCCCUUAACCUUGGAGCGCCACCCACCGAGAAGCUAGCAAGGGGAAACUUUCUCCUCUGGAAGGCCCAGGUCAUGCCGGCCCUGCGAGGAGCGCAGGUCACCGGACUCCUGGAUGGCAACGACGCAGCGCCCGCUAAGAUGGUGGAGCAGGAACAGUCGGACAAGAGCACAUCUAUGGUGCCCAACCCGGUCUACGGACCAUGGCUGUCAAAGGACCAGCAAGUCCUCAGCUACCUUCCCAAUUCCCUCUCCAAGGAGAUACUAGUGCAAGUCAUCGGUAAGGCACGUACCUUCGAUUUGUGUACUGCACUUACGACUCUCUUCGCCUCACAGUCUCAGUCUCGGAUCACGAAUCUGAGGAUUGCCAUCUCCAACACAAAGAAGGGAACCAUGCCAAGCACCCUGUUCAUGGCAAAGAUGAAAAGUUUAGGAGAUGAACUAGCUGCUGUUGGUCGGCCCGUCUCUGAUCCGGAGAUGGUCGACCACAUCCUAGCUGGUCUCGGCCGUGACUACGAUCCAGUGGUUGCAGCGGUCGGCGCCAUCAAAAACACAAUCUCCAUCGAUGAUUUGUUUGCGCAGAUUGCUGCCUUUGAUCAAAGAAUGGAGAUGCUAGGAGAUGCUCCUGUUGGCGGCUAA